rnacentral:rRNA from 1 species
UACGAAGGACCCGAGCGUUAUCCGGAUUUAUUGGGGUUAAAGGGUGCGUAGGCGGAAUAGUAAGUCAGUGGUGAAAGCCUGUUGCUUAACAACAGAACUGCCAUCGAUACUGCUAAUCUUGAGUACAUAUGAUGUGGGCGGAAUGUGCCAUGUAGCGGUGAAAUGCUUAGAUAUGGCACAGAACACCGAUUGCGAAGGCAGCUCACAAAACUGUUACUGACGCUGAGGCACGAAAGCGCGGGGAUCAAACAGG